rnacentral:rRNA from 1 species
CGNGGGUAACCUGCCCAAGAGAUCGGGAUAACACCUGGAAACAGAUGCUAAUACCGGAUAACAACAGAUGAUGCCUAUCAACUGUUUAAAAGAUGGUCCUGCUAUCACUCUUGGAUGGACCUGCGGUGCAUUAGCUAGUUGGUAGGGUAACGGCCUACCAAGGCGAUGAUGCAUAGCCGAGUUGAGAGACUGAUCGGCCACAUUGGGACUGAGACACGGCCCAAACUCCUACGGGAGGCAGCAGCC